rnacentral:rRNA from 1 species
GAUGAACGCUGGCGGCGUGCCUAAUACAUGCAAGUCGAGCGAACAGACGAGGAGCUUGCUCCUCUGACGUUAGCGGCGGACGGGUGAGUAACACGUGGAUAACCUACCUAUAAGACUGGGAUAACUUCGGGAAACCGGAGCUAAUACCGGAUAAUAUAUUGAACCGCAUGGUUCAAUAGUGAAAGACGGUUUUGCUGUCACUUAUAGAUGGAUCCGCGCCGCAUUAGCUAGUUGGUAAGGUAACGGCUUACCAAGGCGACGAUGCGUAGCCGACCUGAGAGGGUGAUCGGCCACACUGGAACUGAGACACGGUCCAGACUCCUACGGGAGGCAGCAGUAGGGAAUAUUCCGCAAUGGGCGAAAGCCUGACGGAGCAACGCCGCGUGAGUGAUGAAGGUCUUCGGAUCGUAAAACUCUGUUAUUAGGGAAGAACAAAUGUGUAAGUAACUAUGCACGUCUUGACGGUACCUAAUCAGAAAGCAACGGCUAACUACGUG